rnacentral:rRNA from 1 species
ACGACCAUACCUACCAGAAAAUACGGGAUCCCGUCCGCUCUCCCAUAGUCAAGCUGGUAAGGGGCGGAUUAGUAGUUGGGUCGGUGACGACC